AUUGAACGCUGGCGGCAUGCCUUACACAUGCAAGUCGAACGGCAGCGGGCCUUCGGGUGCCGGCGAGUGGCGAACGGGUGAGUAAUGCAUCGGAACGUGCCAUUGAGUGGGGGAUAACGUAGCGAAAGUUGCGCUAAUACCGCAUAUUCUGUGAGCAGGAAAGCAGGGGACCGCAAGGCCUUGCGCUCUUUGAGCGGCCGAUGUCAGAUUAGCUAGUUGGUGAGGUAAGGGCUUACCAAGGCGACGAUCUGUAGCGGGUCUGAGAGGAUGAUCCGCCACACUGGAACUGAGACACGGUCCAGACUCCUACGGGAGGCAGCAGUGGGGAAUUUUGGACAAUGGGGGCAACCCUGAUCCAGCCAUGCCGCGUGAGUGAAGAAGGCC
rnacentral:rRNA from 1 species